rnacentral:rRNA from 1 species
CGCGUAGGCGGCCUGAUAAGUAGGGGGUGAAAUCCUGCGGCUUAACCGCAGGGCUGCCUUCUAAACUGUCGGGCUAGAGCACGGUAGAGGCAGAUGGAAUUCCCGGUGUAGCGGUGGAAUGCGUAGAGAUCGGGAAGAACAUCAGUGGCGAAGGCGGUCUGCUGGGCCGUUGCUGACGCUGAGGCGCGACAGCGUGGGGAGCAAACAGGAUUAGAUACCCUGGUAGUCCACGCCGUAAACGAUGGACACUAGGCGUCGGGGGGAGCGACCCUCCCGGUGCCGUCGCUAACGCAGUAAGUGUCCCGCCUGGGGAGUACGGCCGCAAGGCUGAA